rnacentral:lncRNA from 1 species
GAUUAAAAAUUAUCAUUCUAUUUUGUGAUAUUCCAUCAUCAUGCAAUUCAACUUGAAAACAAUCUUCGCCAUCCUUGCCAUCUUCGGCCUUGUCAUGCCCGCUGCUUUGGGACUCCAAAAGGCCCAACACUCUAGAGAAAGAAGAAGUGCUCGUCCUCUUCAAAAGCAAAAACAAUAAGGAGCAAGUACUUGAAGCAACUAUGAACAAAUUUAUUUUUGCAACAUCAAAAAGUUUUUGUUUCUAAUUGUGAACCCAAGAUUUAGCAAUUAUGAAAUAUAAACAAUAACAUCAUAAAAUA